GCCCAGAUUGAUCCUGGCUCAGGACGAACGCUGGCGGCGUGCCUAAUACAUGCAAGUCGAGCGCAGGAAGCAUGACGGAUCCCUUCGGGGUGACAUCAUGUGGAAUGAGCGGCGGACGGGUGAGUAACACGUGGGCAACCUGCCUGUAAGACUGGGAUAACUCCGGGAAACCGGGGCUAAUACCGGAUAACCCGUUCCACCUCAUGGUGGAGCGGUAAAAGAUGGCCUCUGGCUAUCACUUACAGAUGGGCCCGCGGCGCAUUAGCUAGUUGGUAAGGUAACGGCUUACCAAGGCGACGAUGCGUAGCCGACCUGAGAGGGUGAUCGGCCACACUGGGACUGAGACACGGCCCAGACUCCUACGGGAGGCAGCAGUAGGGAAUCUUCCGCAAUGGACGAAAGUCUGACGGAGCAACGCCGCGUGAGUGAUGAAGGUUUUCGGAUCGUAAAGCU
rnacentral:rRNA from 1 species